UACAGAGGGUGCAAGCGUUAAUCGGAAUUACUGGGCGUAAAGCGUGCGUAGUCGGUUAUUUAAGUCGGGCGUGAAAGCCCCGGGCUCAACCUGGGAAUUGCGUUCGAUACUGGAUAGCUAGAGUUCGGCAGAGGGAAGCGGAAUUUCUGGUGUAGCGGUGAAAUGCGUAGAUAUCAGAAGGAACAUCAGUGGCGAAAGCGGCUUCCCGGACCAGAACUGACGAUCAGGCACGAAAGCGUGGGGAGCAAACAGG
rnacentral:rRNA from 1 species